UUGGCUCAUUGGUGUAUGAUUGUCACCCACCAUAGCCUAUUGGAAGUGGCUCUGAUGGUAUUUUAAGGCUGGAGUUAGAUCACCUGGUGUGCGUCACGACUAGGACCGCCCAUACUGAGUGCGCUGGUGUAGACGGUGCGUGGUUUCUUUUGGUCUGUAGCUGUUUGGCUAAUAGAUGUGAGCAUGUGGAUUUUAAAUGUAGACUUUCUCUUUUCUCAGUGCGUUUUAUGCUUGGUUGGGUCACAGACUGUCCACUGCAUGUCAGGUAUGUGUGCGAGUCGUUUUACCUACUGUUGUUUCGGCGUCGGGUGAUUAAUUAUCUGUUUAACUCUUAGCCGUGAAAUCAGUGAAAAGUCUUCCUGCAUGUUAAUUCGUUAUGAGCUGUGAGCAACUAUACACUUCGUGUGGCACGAGGAAUUGCUUUGGGCACUGCCGGCCUGAGGCUGGGAGGCUAGCUAGCUAGCUUGGAGUACGGGUGGUGGUGCAAUUGUGUGGAGUGCAGUGCCGCUUGGAUUCACCUCUCACGGUGUGUGUGUGUGUGUGUGUGUUACACGAAUUCACAGAUAGGGUCUUCACUCCAUCUAGCCUGCCCCUGCCGCUGGAAAGCCUGUGUCUUUUAUUAUUUCUUUUUUUUUUUUUUUUUUAUUUUUUUGUUGUGAGUAUUUUCAAAUUGACAUCUUUAGUUUGUCCAGUACACAGAGCUUUUGAUUGUGACAGUGUUUGAUUGUGACCUGACAUUUGACAUUGAUUAUCAUUGAACAUUUUAACUAUUUAUGGUGAUUUGAAUAAAGUCUUUUGUACAUUGUUCA